rnacentral:rRNA from 1 species
CCAUAUCGAACCUUCGGAUACUAAGACUUUCGAAUCCUUGCCUGUUGUCCCUUCGGGGGCUUGGUGGGGGCUAGUGGUCGGCCUGAUGGGGUAGUAGAUAAGCGAUGGGGUGACGCAGGAGGGUAGCUCAGCCCAGGCGAUGGUUGUUCCUGGGGUAAGCAUGUAGCCCGCAUCAUAGGUAAAUCCGUGGUGCAUACAGGGUGAGAUGUGAUGCCGAGCCAUUGUGGUGAAGUGAGUGAUCCCAUGCUGCCGAGAAAAGCCUCUAGCGAUGUGUGACGGCGGCCCGUACCCCAAGCCGACUCAGGUGGUCAGGUAGAGAAUACUAAGGCGAUCGGGUGAACUGUGGUUAAGGAACUCGGCAAAUUGCCCCCGUAACUUCGGGAGAAGGGGGGCCAUGUCCGGUGAACGUCUUUACGGCGGGAGCUGGGGGUGGCCGCAGAUACCAGGGGGAAGCGACUGUUUACUAAAAACACAGGUCCGUGCGAAGUCGUAAGACGCUGUAUACGGACUGACGCCUGCCCGGUGCCGGAACGUUAAGAGGACCGGUCAACCCUUUUGGGGUGAAGCUGAGAAUCUAAGCGCCGGUAAACGGCGGUGGUAACUAUAACCAUCCUAAGGUAGCGAAAUUCCUUGUCGGGUAAGUUCCGACCUGCACGAAUGGCGUAACGACUUCCCCACUGUCUCAACCACAGACCCGGCGAAAUUGCAGUACGAGUAAAGAUGCUCGUUUCGCGCAGCAGGACGGAAAGACCCCGGGACCUUCACUACAGCUUGGCAUUGGCGUUUGGAGCGUCUUGUGUAGGAUAGGUGGGAGACUGUGAAACUCACACGCCAGUGUGGGUGGAGUCAUUGGUGAAAUACCACUCUGGUCGUUUCGAGCGUCUAACCCGCACCCGUGAAUCCGGGUGGGGGACAGUGCCUGGUGGGUAGUUUAACUGGGGCGGUUGCCUCCUAAAAGGUAACGGAGGCGCCCAAAGGUUCCCUCAGCCUGGUUGGUAAUCAGGUGGCGAGUGCAAGGGCACAAGGGAGCUUGACUGUGAGACGGACGUGUCGAGCAGAUGCGAAAGCAGGGCCUAGUGAUCCGGCGGUGGCAUGUGGAAGCGCCGUCGCUCAACGGCUAAAAGGUACCCCGGGGAUAACAGGCUGAUCUUCCCCAAGAGUCCAUAUCGACGGGAUGGUUUGGCACCUCGAUGUCGGCUCGUCGCAUCCUGGGGCUGGAGUAGGUCCCAAGGGUUGGGCUGUUCGCCCAUUAAAGCGGCACGCGAGCUGGGUUUAGAACGUCGCGAGACAGUUCGGUCCCUAUCCGCUGCGCGCGCAGGAGAUUUGAGAGGGUCUGUCCCUAGUACGAGAGGACCGGGACGGACGAACCUCUGGUGUGCCAGUUGUCAUGCCAAUGGCACGGCUGGUUGGCUACGUUCAGACGGGAUAACCGCUGAAAGCAUCUAAGCGGGAAGCCUUCCUCGAGAUGAGAUCUCCCACCCCUUCGUGGGUGUAAGGCCCCCAGCUAGACCACUGGGUUGAUAGGCCAGAAAUGGAAGCACCGCAAGGUGUGGAGUUGACUGGUACUAAUAGGCCGAGCGGCUCAAA